GACGAACGCUGGCGGCGUGCUUAACACAUGCAAGUCGAACGGAAAGGCCCUGCUUUUGUGUGGUGCUCGAGUGGCGAACGGGUGAGUAACACGUGAGUAACCUGCCCUUGACUUUGGGAUAACUUCAGGAAACUGGGGCUAAUACCGGAUAGGAGCUCCUGCUGCAUGGUGGGGGUUGGAAAGUUUCGGCGGUUGGGGAUGGACUCGCGGCUUAUCAGCUUGUUGGUGGGGUAGUGGCUUACCAAGGCUUUGACGGGUAGCCGGCCUGAGAGGGUGACCGGCCACAUUGGGACUGAGGUACGGCGCAGACUGCUACGGGAGGCAGCGGUGGGGAGUAUUGCACAGUGGGGGGAAGCCUGAUGCAGCGGCGCCGGGUGCGGGAUGACGGCCUUCGGGUUGUAAACCGCUUUCGCAUGUGACGAAGCGUGAGUGACGGUAAUGAGUAAAGAAGCACCGGCUAACUACGUG
rnacentral:rRNA from 1 species